GCUGGGUGUGGUGGUGCAUGCCUGUAAUCCCAGCUACUCGGGAGGCUGAGGCAGGAGAAUCGCUUGAACCUGGGAGGCUGAGGUUGCAGUGAGCCAAGAUCAUGCCACUGCACUCCAGCCUGGGUGACAGGGCAAGACUCUGUCUCCA
rnacentral:SRP_RNA from 2 species